GGCCCCAUUUAGUCCUGCUCUGUCUGACCUAGGAGAGCAGACUGGGGCAGUUUUGGUGGCUGAAGUGCAGAGGUAUCCCUAAGCAGCAGCUGGGGAAUCACAGCACUGCCUGAGAGCAGUAUGGCAGAGCAGCACUGGCCAGUUCAUGGCUGGAUUGCUGCUAAGUGUCUCACCCAACAUCCUAUCUUUCAUUUCCAUUUCUGCUUUCAGAGCUUCUGCACACCACUGUGCCUUACUUAUUUCUGCCUUGAUCUGUCUGCUUCUCCUUUCUUUCCCUCAUAUCUUGCCUCCACUUGUUUUCUCUUCUUCUUCUCAUACUGCUCUUCUUAAAAAAUGGCUGCUUUGGCUUUCCACCACCACCUUCUCGAGCAGUGAGCAAGACCACGAGCUCAACCACUACAACAAACCUGCAAAAUUUGUAAUUGCUGCCCAGUUGUAAAGGCUCACAUAGACCGUAACUCCAGUUCCAGCAGGCCUAGUGCAAGUGUGAAGAAUGUAAGAGGAGCAGAAGAAACUUUUGUGAUUGGAUUUUGGAACACUGGAGGCUGGAUGGGGCUCUGAGAACACUGACUGAGCUCUGAACUAAAGCCAACCAGUCCCAUGCCAUGGCAUGCUCUGGAGGAGGCAGGUGAUGCUGUGAGAUGAUCCCACAGGAGAACUGUGCAGCUGACAAGAUUAGGGAUAACUGAGGGAAUUUGCCAGCGAACUUCCAUAUGGCCAGCUCUACUUCCAGUGCAGAUCAAUGGCUGCAUCAUAACCUGAGAUCAGUCAAUGUUACCUCUGCUCCUGCAGAGUACAUCAACUUAUCAUGGAUGUGCAAGACAACAGAGUGUAGUGCAUAAAAUAUCCAAAACAAUAUUCUACCACUGCUGAAAAAGACAUUUCAAUACUUGGAGGCCAAGAAUUCCUCUGGUUUGUUUGAGCUCUGUGCGAGGAUAUGUUACAAAUUGCUAUGCGCAUAGGUUAUAAAUUGUGAGAGCACGGUGAUGGAGAAGUGUUUCAAUUCAACAUUAAAUGUAUUGCACGGUGUCAUAAAAUAUGUUCAUUGACAACUUUGUUACUAUCUUGAAACUAUAAACCCCAAAUGUUCUUCCCAGCUGGAAGGCAAAGGCAAAAAAGCUCUGGAAGGCCCUGCAUGAACAGUAGGCUGAGACCCAUCUAUGCAGGUACAAAACUUCAGUCUUGUCCCAUGUUCUCCUGCAUCCCAAAUGUGUUAAGUACAGAAAACUGACUCUUGCUUAAAAAAAGAUUGAGAGUUGUGGGGUGAUGCUUCAGUUUUCCCUCAGCUCCUCAGAAUCCCAGAAUCGAGCCAGGCUUUUUGGAAUAUUUGGACCAAAUCCAAUCCAGUUCUGGAGAUGAGGAUACCUUGGUGCACUGUAUUUUUGAAUCUCACCACAUGUGGACAUCACAUAUAAUGGCAUAUGUGCUGUAUUACAGCUUAUACUGCUCUAUGUUGCUACUGGAGACAUGGUGCUAACGUGUCAUUUGGAAUAAGUACCAUAAGUGUAUCUGCAGUUGUAGGAACCAAAUAUCAGUAGGCAAUAAUCCAUGCUAUACUAGUAAAGCUUUGUACAGUAACAGUGAUAAACACAGAUCAGAGGCAGACUACAUGCUAUUUUUAUGAUACAUAUUAUUAUUUUGAUACCUUCUCCACUUGACAGUUAGAGGAAUGAUGGGAUGAGUGUUGAUAUUUCCAUAGUAGUAUUAUGUCACAUGUUAAAUCUCUGGCAACCAAACUGUGAAGUCAGGCAUUACUAUUUCAGAUUUACUCUGACUAGUUAAAACUCAUGAAUUCUGUCUUGAGGAUUACUUCUCUUUAUCACAAAUGAGUUUACUCUACCUAUGCUUACCUUUUCCUACAAAAACUUUUUUUUUUCAAUUGCUAUCAGCAACGGUUCCUUUACUUGAUUGUCUUGCAUUUUACCAGAUGAACUUCUCUGAGAUGAGUGUUCAUGUGGAGCUAAUAGAAAACACUCUUUCUCUUAAAUAUUUACAUCUCUAAACCAUAUUUACUUCUACUAAAUAUUUUUUGUAAUGUCUGAGAAUUAGCUGGUCAGGUAUUUGUUAGCAUACUACUAGGAACAUGCCCUUCAGUUGAAAAAAGAGCUUAAAGGCAUACUAUGUCAGAUACCCUGUGCUAACAAACUCAAUUCUGUUUUGCCCUCCCUUCCCCUCCCCUCCUCUCUUUUUUUCAAAAUCUCUUUUUGCUCUCUUAAUAGCAAUCUGCAUUUUGUCUAUGACUUUGAUAGAUUUUUUUUUAAUGUCACAUCUCCAACUCUGUAUUUUACUCCUCAGUGCUUUCAUCAAAACCUGCAUAGAAUGUUCUAGCAGCACAUUUCCCUAUUAGCCUUUUUUUUUUAUUAGACAUUUAUAAUCUCAAACAAAAAUCACCUCUGUAUUCACCAGGGGCAAGAAAUGAUUUAUGGGCAGAUUCAUUUAACAGUGGCUUCUCAGGGGCAAAGUUAAAAUAGUUUGUAUGUGAGGGGCUGAAGCCAAAGGUGCCCUCUCCAAUACUGUUGAUCAGUGUUGAAUCUUUGCUGGAGCUCUGACGCACAGCAGCCACCACAGCUGUUUCCAAAGAUGCCGGUGACCUGGGGCCGUGCUCUGCUACAAAGCAUAGCUCUCUCCAAACUCAUUUCCCUUUUGGUAUGAAAGGAGCCCAAAAGAAUUCCCAGAGAAAAGCUGAGUGGCCACAGUGAUCUGCAGUGUUUAUUUGAGGGCCCCUGCCAGAGCCCUGCUGAUGCAUCAAGCGCUAGGAUAUAUUUAGUACCAGCCACCUCUGCAGAAGUGACUCCUAUUUUGAAUGGUGCAAAAUAUUUUCUUUGUACUUUUUUUUAUCCUUUGGGGUCUAUGCAAUGAGAGGACCCAUUUUUCUCCCUCAGGUGUCCAGUUCUGGCCCCUCUGCCAUGAGUGAAGAGGCAGUGAGUUACCCAGCUAACUCUCUCAGCCCCUGUGUGGGGGGUUGUGGGCUGCACUACUGUGGUCCUUGAACUCUGUCAUUUCGAACACUUCUUUUUUUGGCCCCAUGUCUAUCAAAUGAAAGAAAACUCCUAAACAGACCUGGAAACUGAUACAUUCCAAAUACAGCAACUGCUGCUUCCUCCUCCCCUGUGUGCUGUUGCUGCUUCAGUAAUACGGAUUUCACAGAAUGCCCCAGUGAGGAUAAACAGCAACACUGUGCGCCCCGAGUUCCAUGUGUUUAUGCUCUACUGACCACGGCUUUUCCUUCAAUGUCACUGUCACGGUGACAACAUUAUCAUGGACCAACACACAGCUCAAAAGGAGGAAAUAUUUCCAUUGUUUUUGCACUGAUACCCCAGGCAUCUUCUGCUACAGUGUAAUCCACUGGUCCCAGGCAGAGCCCCAGCAAUUGUGGCAUCGCCAUCCCCUCUCCCACAAUAUACACUCUCUGUGGGUGUCAGUAAAUGUUUGUCAUUUAUCAGCAAAUUCACUUUCUGCAGUAUUCCCAAGUGCUGGGCUUGGCUCAUGUCUCACAGCAUAUUCAGCUGUUUUCUGGGCUAGAAUUUGGAGAUCCUCAGUCCUUUCUGACUUAUGUCCCUUUGCUUGUGGUGUUUUGAGCUCUCCAACAGCAGUGUGAGCACACUGUUCAUCCUGGGAGAUUGUCUGGGGAGCCAGUAGGAACCUUUGCUCUCACUGUAUGCUCAGGCAAACCAGAAAUCUCCAGGAGGCUUCAUGUUUUGGGACAGCUCCUGGUGUCUAUCUGGUCUCCUACCAGGGGCUAUAUGAGUCCCUCUAGUUUGCCAGCUCAACUUUCCUGCUUUCAGCCAUGCACCAAAGUUUCUCCCUGCUGACUCACUAAGCAUGAACUUCUCACAGGUGCUGCCACUGGUGGCACAGCCUCACACACUCCUGGUGAGAACCUUUCAACAGCUAUCAGUGGCUGCCAGAGUCACCAAGGCAGAUGGGAAAAGAGAAGGGACUCAACUGAUCCAAGUGGAAAUCAUCCAUCAAUCCAUGGUGCCACACCCCCUGCAGCUAUUUCUGGGAUAGACAGACCUCAAGUGCCUAAUUCUCUGCAGAAACUCCUGAUUAACUGGUGUGGAGGGAUUUGAUUUGAGCCCCAUUCCAAGCUUACUUUCAGGAAAAGGAGACUGUAAUCUAAAUUUCUGCUCACACAGUAUUUUUUUUUUUUUCUGUUAGUCAAUCAGCUAAGGAAGGCGAACAGCAUUUUUGCAAUGCUAUCUACAUUUUCUGCAGAACGUGCUGUUACCUGCCUCAGCCUUUUGUGUGUGGGAGGGACCUGCUGGUCCUGCUGUGAAUAACCACCACUGUGCUUGUGGGGCUGAUUAGAGGGCUGACAAACCAUGGGGAAUGAGAAAUACACCUCCUACCUCAAAGAGAAGGAACAAUCUCUGAUAUAAUUUACACAGCUACCUUCAGAGCUGAUCUUGCAACUGUGAUCACCUUUCUUAGCAACAGCACCAGAAAGAUACUUACAUAAGCAGAGCAUCCAGACACAAGAGUAGCCAUACUUGAGAGGCAAUUAAAUGGUGAUUUUUGUUCUGUUUUGUUUUUAUGGGAAAAUAUAUAUAUGUGCAGUUCAUUAGAACUGGUGGGGGAGGAAAUUUACAUCAGAAGUCCCAUAAAGAAACAUAGCAGAGCUGUCUACCAUGAACUUUAAGUAUGAUAAUAUUAUCAAACCAUCUUGUUUCAUGAACAUUCAAUUCAUUUUUUUCCAUGUAAUUUAUUUUCAAUUUAAAUGUCUUCUUAAUUUCUCUCUUGGCAGUAAGCAAAAGAAAAUAUAAUUUACAGCGUUUCUAGUAAGAAAUCCUUUGUUCAUUUUUCUAUGGAGUUUAACAUACUGGCAAGGCAAUUUUAAAGCAUCUUGAAUACAGACAGAUCUAUUUUGUUUUGUUUUUCAAAGAAAGUGUGUGUCAGCUCUACAGCCUGAGAACGCACCUUUCUUUUAGCAACAGUUCACACAGAAACAUACAAAGUGUUGUCCCAGCUGAAAGGAAGGGUUCCUGCAAGGCUUUCGGAGAGACUACAGAGCACAGGAGCACAGCAAUUGGUAAAUUUCUCUUUUCAGGUAAUUGGGAUUUUCAUAAAGAAAUGAUACAAUUCAAAGCUUCAAAGAGGAACUAUCACAGUACACCAGACAUUAAUUAAAAUCAAAUAGCAGAUUAUUUAUUUAGAGGUUAUACCUCUUUGCCAUUAUUCAGCACAGUGAAGUUCCAUCUGAGUUAAAUUAAUUAAUUACAUUCUCUGCAGUCACAGAUACCAUGCAAUCAUGUAAUGAAAGAUGCUACUACAAAGAUCUUAUAGCUGAAAUGAGCUAUAGACAAAAACAGGAGAUCUAACCGAGACACAGUUAUCAGACCCAUAGAAAUUAUUAAAUUAAGAUUUGAUUCUAUAGCCAUCCCAACCAAACUUUGACUGAAGAGCAACAUUUACGAGCACAAAGACCAGAGGUCCCAUGUAGAUUUGAUGAGAGAGAGAUGUUUCACAGAAUCACAGAAUGGCCAGGGUUGGAAGGGACCUCAAGGAUCAUGAAUCUUCAAGCCCCUGCCACACUCAGGGCCACCAGCCUCCCCAUUUAAUACUAGACCAGGCUGCCCAGGGCCCCAUCCAACCUGGCCUUGGACACCUCCAGGGACGGGGCAUCCACAACCUCUCUGGGCAGCCUGUUCCAGCACCUCACCACUCUCUCUUCCCCCUCACAUCCAACCUAAAUCUUCCCUCCCUCAACUUAAAACCAUUUCCCCUUGUCCUGAAGUUAUCAACCCUUUAAAAGAGUCGAUUCCCCUCCUGUUUGUAGGCUCCCUUUAGGUACUGAAAGGCUGCAAUGAGGUCACUUGAGCUCCCUCAGCCUGUCUUCAUAGGGGAGGUGCUCCAGUCCCCUGAUCAUCUUUGUGGCCCUCCUCUGGACCCUCUGCAACAGCUUCUUGUCUUUCUUGUAGUGGGGGCUCCAGACCUGGACACAGUGCUCCAGAUGGGGCCUUACAGGAGCAGAGUAGAGGGGGACAAUCACCUCCCUGUUGCUGCUGGCCACUCCUCUUCUAUGGGAGCUCAGUCAUACUGAGUUGUGCCUUUCCUACUUUGCAUGCAAUGUUGAUGACGGGGAGCUUCAGUUGUGCACUUGGCAAAGCUUGGUGUCCCACUUUUCUUAAGGUCCUUCUCUCCAAGGUGAUGGUGACUCUUCUUGGGGGCUUUGAGGGUGCUGAUUUGAGCACUCUGUCAGAGGAAGUCUGCAUCCCACUCCACCAGGGCUGCCUGCUGUCUCCCAGAGCUGUUCCUGUGCCAGCAUCUGCCACCAGCCAUGCAUGAGUGCCAUCAAAGAUCCUGCUGAGCACUAUCCUUCUGUCCACUCCAGCAGCAUGACAACUUUCCAAGUGAUGUGACUGUUUUUUCCAAUCAGCACUGAACUGCAUGCUCUCAAUGAUAAAUUUAGUUGAUGUUCCAUGUCUUUUUGUUUCCUUUUUUGUUUUAUUUUUGGUUGAUGCUAUGGAAUGUUUUCUGAGUCAUAAAUUCAUUAUUCAAUAAUCUUCUUCUGUCCCCCAUGGAACAUUUUUAUCUAAAUCUCCAUUAUUCUGCAUUAAGUAACAAGAGAGUUGUGUACCUGUCAUAAAGCCACUGCCAGCCUGCAAAGACGUGUAUUGAGUAACAGCCAGAGUUCUAAUGUUUUGGGUGGCCUUUUUGAUUAAACCAAGAAGUAACAGCUUGCAGACGAAAAGCAGUCAACACUUUCUGUAAAGGAGGCAAUAUUCAGAUACUUUGGUGAAAGAUGUGUUAUUCAUCAAAAUUAUGGUUUUUAGGAAGACAGUAACCAUACCUAGAAUUUUAUAGAACUGGUGAUUCCUUCAGAUAGAAAAAGCAUAUUAUACUUUUACAUGUUUUUCUAAAUAAUUGGAAUAAUUGUUAAAAAUGAAGGGAUUAAAAUCUUGAAAACAAGACUUAGCAUUUCCUUUUAGUUAGAAUAUUUUUUUUUAUAGCAAGCAAAUAAAAAUUCUUUAGAAAAAAAAAGUCACACAAGCUGAAAAAUGUCUUUUAGGCAGAAUGUGAUUCAGCCAUCAAGUUGAAGAACAUACACUUCUGGUCUUAGCUGGGGCAUCAGUAAUGAAUCUAGCCUUAAGAAGCACCUCUGGACAUCUUGGCUAAGUCCUGACAUCAUUCAAGUGCUGCUGGUAUCACAGUAUAAGAAGAUGCAUCCAAUACAGACUGCUCUCUAUCUGACAAUGUAAAAAUCCUUCACAAAGACAUGCAGUAGUUGGUAAAACUGUAGGAAGCUGCCGCUUAUUCCAGCCCAAGAAAAAGACUGAAGCACUUGUCUUUGGCAGUCAUGAGUGCACCUGUCUUGCUGUUCUUUUUUCUUUCAUGUGUUCUUCACUCCUUUUUAACAGAUGUGAUUUUAUUGAUUUGAUGUCUCACAGAGAUCUCAGAGGAGCUUGGUUGCAGCUGGAACUGGAACUGAACAGAAAAAAAAACUUCAACAACAAAAAUUGGACAAGGUGAGAGAAAGAAUGAAAGCUGCUCCCCAGGCAUGAUAAUUCAUGCAGUUGCCAAUUAUGGAGACUUGACACCCUUAUUGCAGCAGCUGGUGCUGACUGCUGUAGGAAAUUGUGAGACAGCUGAUGUAUUUCCUGACAAUUUUCUCCAACCUAAGGAGCUCAGAGUCCUGGUACAAGGACCUUCCACUUUGACCGCCACUUUGACCCUGUGCUGGCAGCACGACUCCCCAGUCACAAAAAGACAAGCCAAAGCUUGAUGUUAUCUGAAUUUCACAAAAUUUCUACUUUUCCCCUGCUUUGAGCAGGCUGUAAAGAAAGGGAAAGAUGUUACUAGUUCUGGAAUGAGUCCUUCAGUCCAGAAGAGUAGGAUGGAUCCAACUAGUGAAAGAAACAUCAUAGAAACAAAAUCCACAGAAGAUCCACAGAGAAAAGAACUCCUGAAGUGAAACACCAACUGAUCUUGGUAGUAUGUUGCAAUCCAGACUUGAUAAAUAUUGCACUGCUGUAGGGCACAGACAAGGUUCAAAUCCUUCACUUUCUCUUACUUACACAUGGGUGUGAACCAAAAUCUGCCACAUCCUCAAGUGCUCUGUCUGAAACUAGUACAUGCAUCUUUUCCAGUUUCUCCUUCUGAAGUUAUUCUCUUCUGAGUAAAAAAAAAAACCAACAACACAAAACACAACAGCAUUUUGAGAAAGAAGAAAUGAUGCUCCAGCCUUAGAAGCUGAAAUCUUACAGCAGUUGGGCUGUUGUUUAUACAGCUCUUGCUUGUGCAUCAGGGAAAGGAAGUCUUAGUAGAGGUGUGCUGUGUCUCUGGCCAUCAAACCAUGUGCUGUUCACAGUCUCAGGUGGGUAUGUCCGAAUCCGUUUUGUUUCACAAGGAACUCCUGGGCUUGGUAAUUGCCCCAAAUCUUGUCAGACUGGAUGUAAGUUUCUGUGCCAGCAUAACAGUAUCUUCUAAUGAAAGCAUAUGCAAUUGGUGGAGGUGAGAAUGGAAAGCUCCAGGUGUGUUUUGUGUGUAUUUGAUUAUGUGAGAAUUGUAUGUGGUUGUUUUUAUUAAAAACAAACACAACAAAAUAAACCAACCAACUAGACAAACAAUGAAAAUAUCCAGAUAAAACAUGCUUAGCAUAUCUCACGACAACUAAAUUUCCAGGGAUUUCAACUGGAUUUUCCUAAUUAAUUUAACUAAAAGCAGUACUGACUCACUAGUCCUUCAUACUUAUUCUGCCAUUCUUGUACCUUGUAUAUUUCUUAAAAUCAAAGCUACUUAUUCCUACUGUUGAAAGAAAGGAAUGGAAGGCCUCGGUUAGACUGGCCAUUGCAUUAAGAGUUCAAAUAGCUUCAACUUUAUUAACAAGUCAGUCACUCAUUAUAGUUCUGUUAAGUUGGCUGCCCCUGCUCUUUGAUUUAUUUGGAGGGACCAAGGUGAAAUGUGAUUUUGAAGUUUAGAUUUCCAGGAUUCCCCUCUUCUAAAAACAUAAAACACAUGAAAAAAACAGUCUCACAGAGAGCCUUGACACAUACCACUAAUCUCACAAGCCAUGGUUUUCCAAAGUUUCCAAAUACUGCAUUAAUGACCUGGAACUGCUUUUUGGCAACCUGGUUCUUCCUGGAGCACUCGCACCUUCUCCUGUGAGAGGCUGAUUUCUUGCUUGGGUUGGUUUUGGAGCAUGGAGAGAACUGAGACUGGCCACCACACCAUUUCUCAUUUCUUUUUUCAGAGAAUUUCCUACUUCUGAAAUUGUUGAGAGAUGAGAAGGCCUAGCUAGGGGCAAAGUUUAGAAGUAUAUACUAUAUAUACAUAUAUAUGUAUAUAUAUACAUAUAAAAUGAGGUUUUCUGUAAAAUUGUCUCAGUUUUAAGCAGCGGACAUUUGCAGUAAGCUUGCCGCAAGCAGUGUACAGGAACCAGAGAACUAACGUGUACAGGAAUGAUUGUAACCUGACGAACCUGAUAUAAUAAACCACCACAUUCUUGUGGUAUUGCAAAAUAUCUAAAUCGUUUUUAGAACCUAUUUUAAUUAUACUCUUUUUUUUUUUUUUUUUCCUGGUGAAACAUCGCUGAGUCAUUAUUCUUAAUGUAAACUAUCUUGGCAGUCAAAAUAUCUACGUUUAAAAUUCAACAGUUCCAACAUAUUUCGGAGAAUGCUGGAGACAAGAAUGAGGAAACAUGGGAAAUAUCACCAUCAGCACUUAACUGAUCUCACUGCCUCCUUGCUUGUCAAGACAUUGCUGAUUGAAAAGCUGUUUUGCUUCCUGCCCUCAGAACCAGAGUCCAACAGCUUGGCAGCACAUUGGCAGGGUCUAGCAAAGAGCAGCCUGAGGAAGCGCCUGGUACAGCCAUGGACAUUAAACAUGCUCAGGGUCCUCUUGGGGUCUUGUUGAAGAGUUCCUGCAGCACUGGUGUUCCCUCCAGCCUCGUAGGAUGCAGUAACAUCUCUGGCAAGUGUGGCCAGGUGCUGCAGCUCCCAUAUAGCCUGCAGGAAGACAUCAGCCAUUCUGCACACUGUCUCACCUUGGCUUUGAAGAACAACUUAGAGAUUUUUAUUCCAAUGCUUGCUUUCUCUUUGCUGACAAAAAUCAACAUACUUUUCAGUUUUUUUAGCAUUUUUUCCCUUCUUUUAUCCUUUCUUUUCUUUUUCUCCAAUUGGUAUUAAUUAUGAUUUUAUGUUUGCCAUAUCUGAAUGCAUUUGGAAUUGCAUUACAUGUUUUACAAAUUGCUGCUUGACUGCCUGUAAUGUAUGGACUUUGUGGCUUCACUUUACUGUGGUGAAAACUAAAGGAAGGAAAAAAAAAAAGAACCAAAGACUACACAGAAGGAGCUUUGGUGUCCAAAUCAUUCUUGCAACUAGGCAGGAAGUCCCUCUCCGUGGUCAUGCCGCAGGCUGUUAAGCAGAGAGGUUGCACAAGUCAUUUAGAAAUUAGAAAAGAGCAUCAUGUGUUUCCUGUGCAGAUCUGAAACUGGAGAGGUCCUUAGCGACUCCGAGCUCCUGCCCUGAGCUGCUGAAUGGGCCCAGUGAACUGCAGCCUGCCCAUGCUGCUGCUCCUCAACACAAACGUACAUUUGGGGUACCUGCUGGUUGUUCCUUCUGGAAAGGGCCUGAUGUGCUGUCUGACCUUCAGAACUGCAGGUUUGCUUGUACAAAACCUUUAGACUUCUAAGACACAAUAAAAAGCAAUAUUGUUAUGAUUUUUUUUUUUCCUUUUUGGGGUUUAUUGUUUUUCAGCUUCAGUUUCAGUAUCUGUCAUGGUGGAAGCAAAGACAUCUCUGCACUGUGUACAAGCUCAUGAAUCACUAGGGCUGCUUGGGAGGUACAUGAUGAAUGAUCCACAUUAUAUACAGGCAAGAGGAGAUUAAUAAACCCAUGCAUAGUUUAUUGGCUGUUCAUCUCACAAGUUCACUGCUUAGGAGUCAAAGGACCUGAGAUUUGGAUGUAAAACUACUUUUCAAAAGCCAUUGACACGAGGCCAAAUUUUCAAGUGUUCUGCACUUUAACAGAAAAAAGAGUUUCAAAUAUUAAAAAAAAAAAAUAUAUAUCACUUUUUCAUCGAA